GCCACCGUAGCUCAAUGGUAGAGCACGUCAUUCGUAAUGACGGGGUUGUCGGUUCGAGUCCGACCGGUGGCU
rnacentral:tRNA from 2 species